rnacentral:rRNA from 1 species
CAAGGGUUUCUAUGUUAAGAUGUAUUGCAUAGAGUGAAACGGCCCCUAAGAAAGAUUUGACGAAAGCAAAUUUUGAUGGGAUAAUUUUUAAAUUAAAUUUUUUUAAAAAAGUGACAAAAAUUUUAAUUUUUCAGGAAAUAACUUUUUAAUUAAAAACCGUACCCUAAACCGACACAGGUGGAUAGGUCGAGUAGACUAAGGUGAAUGAGAGAACUAUAUUGAAGGAACUCGGCAAAAUGACUUUGUAACUUCGGGAUAAAAAGUACCUAAUUAUUAAAAAAAAUAAUGAGGUGUCACAAAAUAGGGGGUUGCGACUGUUUAAUAAAAACUUAGGACUCUGCUAAAUGGUAACAUGAUGUAUAGGGUCUGACACCUGCCCGGUGCUGGAAGAUUAAAAGGAGAUGUUUGCGCAUUAAAUGGAAGUCCCAGUAAACGGCGGCCGUAACUCUGACGGUCCUAAGGUAGCGAAAUUCCUUGUCGGGUAAGUUCCGACCUGCAUGAAUGGUGUAACGACAUCCCCGCUGUCUCCAAUAUAGACUCAGUGAAUUUGAAUUAUCCGUGAAGAUGCGGAUUUUCUAUAGUUAGACGGAAAGACCCCGUGAACCUUUACUACAUCUUUAUAUUGUUAUUUUAUCUAAUAUGUGUAGUAUAAGUGGUAAUCGUUUAGACCUUUACGCUAGUAAAUUGUUUAGAUAUUCUUGAAAUACCACUCUUAUUAUAAUAAAUAACUAAUAUUUUUUUAAAUAGACAUUGUAUGGUUGGUAGUUUGACUGGGGCGGUCACCUCCUAAAGAGUAACGGAGGUGUACAAAGGUAAGCUCAAAUUGGAUAAUAGUAUCAAUUGUAGAGCAUAAUGGUAAAAGCUUGCUUGACUGUAAGAUAGACAUAUCAAACAGGGACGAAAGUCGGUCAUAGUGAUCCGAUAAUUCUUUGUGGAAAGAUUAUCGCUCAACGGAUAAAAGGUACUCCGGGGAUAACAGGCUGAUGACUCCUAAGAGCUCCUAUCGACGGAGUCGUUUGGCACCUCGAUGUCGACUCAUCACAUCCUGGAGCUGAAGAAGGUUCCAAGGGUUCGGCUGUUCGCCGAUUAAAGUGGUACGUGAGUUGGGUUUUAGAACGUCGUGAGACAGUUUGGUUCCUAUCUUCUAUAGAUAUUUUGAAAAAUGAAAGAAUCUAACUCUAGUACGAGAGGACCGAGAAGGGUAAAUCUCUGGUGUAUCGGUUGUUAAAAGGCAUCGCCGAGUAGCUAAAUUUAUUUUGGAUAAUUACUGAAAGCAUCUAAGUAAGAAACCAUUCUUAAAAAUUUUUCAUAUAAAAACUGUAAAAGACGAUUACAUUAAUAGGUUUUAAGUGUAAGUGUUGUAAAAUAUUUAGCUUAAAAAUACUAAAAGUUUUAAAAAUUAAAAUA